UUUCACUUUUGAAAUAAUAUUCAAAUAUUUAUUAUAAUUCCAUCUUAAAUAAAAUCAAAUGUAUAGAUCUUUACAUUGAAAUGAAAAGGAAAGAAAAAAAAAAACAAAAAAAGAAUACCAAAAAUAAAAUGUCAACUUUCCAAAAUAAAGGAACAAACUGUACAAAUUACUAACACAGAAACACUACCAAAAGAAAUAUCAAGGAUGAGGAUGAUCUCAAUAUUCUACAGCCAAUAAAAUGAUAUAAACAGCACAGAACACCUAGUUCUCUCCAUUGAUUCAGUCCCCAGUCCAUGGCUGGAAACAAUGCAAGCAACUGUGAUGGGAAACUCAUCAAAAGUGAAACAAUAACUAUAUACAUAUUUACAUUGAGGGGAAAAGGGGGGGGGGGGGGGGGG